UACCAGGCCCUUUUCAGGGCCACCUAUCUGUUCGCUUGAAAGAGCU
rfam:TPA: Bos taurus chromosome 23, whole genome shotgun sequence.